UACGUAGGUGGCAAGCGUUGUCCGGAUUUACUGGGCGUAAAGCGCCCGCCGGCGGCUUGGCAAGUCUGAGGUGAAAUCUCCCGGCUCAACUGGGAGGGUGCCCCGGAAACUGCCAGGCUCGAGGCAGGGAGAGGGAUGUGGAAUUCCCGGUGUAGUGGUGAAAUGCGUAGAUAUCGGAAGAACACCAGUGGCGAAGGCGGCUCACUGGUCCGGUACUGACGCUGAGGUGCGAAAGCGUGGGGAGCAAACAGG
rnacentral:rRNA from 1 species